GGACUCGUAGCUCAACUGGUAGAGCAUGCGCGUACAAAGCGUAGGCGGUGUCCAUGCGUGGGUUCGAAUCCCACCGAGGCUA
rnacentral:tRNA from 1 species